AACGCACAUUGCGCCCUCCGGUAUUCCGGGGGGCAUGCCUGUUCGAGCGUCAUUACACCACUCCAGCCUGGCUGGGUUUUGGGCGCCGCAGCCUCGCCGGCGCGCCCCAAUGUCUCCGGCUGAGCCGUCCGUCUCUAAGCGUUGUGGCAACUCAAUCCGCUUGCGGGACCGGUCGGUUCGACGCCGUUAAACACCCCACACAAGGUUGACCUCGGAUCAGGUAGGGAUACCCGCUGAACUUAA
rnacentral:misc_RNA from 1 species